AAAUCGUGAUAAUUCAUGUGAAUUGCAGAACUCUGUGAAUCAUCGAGACUUUGAACGCAAAUAGCACCAAAGGGUUUACUCUUUGGUAUAUCUGUUCGAGUGUCAGUAAUAUAUAUAUCAAUAAAUAAACCCUUUUAUUGAUUACCACCGGGACCGUAUAAUAAUUAUAUACUCUCCUUAGAUAUAUUACGGCCUACGUAUAUAUUGGAGUCGUAAAAUAGCGGUAUCUCGUUGUUUACCAUCGAAUAUAACCUGAAUGUCUAAAGAGCAUAAUAAUGUUAUAUCUUCGAUGCCAUAAACCACCGAAGGGACGAUUAGCGAGGUCGAGAAACUAGACCCUAAACCUAACUCCCUGCCGAAACCUGAUCUCGGGACACCUAACCUUAAAGCAGACUGGUAUCAUCCAGAGAUCUGAUUAUGCGACAAAUAAACAACGUACCGAUAAAUUACGUAACUUCAUAUAUCGAAUGGACCACGAUAUAAUGCUCCAUAAUAUAAUCAACAAUGACCUCGAAUCAGAUAAGGUUACCCGCUGAACUUAAGC
rnacentral:misc_RNA from 1 species